AGCAGCCGCGGUAAUUCCAGCUCCAAUAGCGUAUAUUAAAGUUGUUGCAGUUAAAAAGCUCGUAGUUGAAUUUCGAGACCGGCUUACUGGUCGUGCUUUUGUACGUACUGGUAUAAUCGGUUUCUCCUUUCUGACGAACUAUAAUGCCAUUAAUUUGGUGUUAUAGGGAAUUAGGACUGUUACUUUGAAAAAAUUAGAGUGUUUAAAGCAGGCUCACGCUUGAAUACAUUAGCAUGGAAUAACGGAAUAGGACGUUUGAUUCUAUUUUGUUGGUUUCUAGGAUCGACGUAAUGAUUAAUAGGGAUAGUUGGGGGCAUUAGUAUUCAAUUGUCAGAGGUGAAAUUCUUGGAUUUAUUGAAGACUAACUACUGCGAAAAGCAUUUGCCAAGGAUGUUUUCAUUAAUCAAGAACGAAAGUUAGGGGAUCGAAGACGAUCAGAUACCGUCGUAGUCUUAACCAUAAACUAUGCCGACUAGGGAUCGGAUGAUGUUAAUUUUUAAUGUACUCAUUCGGCGCCUUA
rnacentral:rRNA from 1 species